rnacentral:rRNA from 1 species
CCAAAAGCUGGCGACCGGCGCACGGGUGAGUAACACGUAUCCAACCUGCCUCAUACUCAGGGAUAGCCUUUCGAAAGAAAGAUUAAUAUCCGAUAGCAUAUAUUUCCCGCAUGGGUUUUAUAUUAAAGAAAUUCGGUAUGAGAUGGGGAUGCGUUCCAUUAGUUUGUUGGGGGGUAACGGCCCACCAAGACUACGAUGGAUAGGGGUUCUGAGAGGAAGGUCCCCCACAUUGGAACUGAGACACGGUCCAA